rnacentral:tRNA from 1 species
GCUGGUAUAGCUCAGUGGUUGAGUUCUUGCCUAGCAUGUAUAAGGCCCUGGAUUCAGUUCCCAGCA